CAAGCGGUAAAAAGCGCGCGUCGUGUUUAACAUCAUAUCAGAGUUUCGCAAAUUUUACAUCAUGCCAAAUACAAAAUGCUCAGGCGACAUGGAGGAUUGUGUGAUGCCAGUACGUUCUGCUAAUCCGAUACGCGCUAGAAGUUUGAUCCGAGACAAUUUGGAGAAACAGGCUGGUUGUCUAAAUCUAAUACACUCCAGAAUGCCAAACAUUAAAGUGUUUUCGGGCACCUCGCAUCCGGAUUUGGCGCAGCGUAUUGUCGAUCGCCUUGGCAUCGACCUGGGCAAAGUGGUCACCAAGAAGUUUAGCAAUUUGGAAACAUGUGUCGAGAUCGGAGAAUCGGUGCGCGGCGAAGAUGUUUAUAUCGUACAGUCCGGUUCCGGGGAGAUCAAUGAUAAUUUAAUGGAGCUGCUGAUCAUGAUAAAUGCAUGCAAAAUAGCAUCAGCCUCUCGUGUUACAGCUGUGAUUCCUUGCUUUCCAUAUGCCCGCCAAGACAAAAAAGAUAAGGCCCAUGCACAGAGCCGUGCGCCCAUCUCGGCGAAAUUGGUCGCUAAUAUGCUAUCAGUGGCCGGUGCGGAUCAUAUUAUAACCAUGGAUCUACAUGCCUCACAGAUUCAGGGUUUCUUCGAUAUACCAGUUGAUAAUCUCUAUGCCGAGCCGGCGGUACUCAAAUGGAUCAAAGAGAACAUUCCCGAAUGGAAAAAUUCGAUUAUCGUAUCGCCCGAUGCUGGCGGCGCCAAGCGUGUCACCUCGAUUGCGGAUCGCUUGAACGUGGAGUUCGCGCUGAUACACAAGGAGCGCAAGAAGGCCAACGAGGUGGCCUCCAUGGUGCUCGUUGGUGAUGUUAAGGAUAAGAUUGCCAUAUUGGUCGACGAUAUGGCCGAUACAUGCGGCACCAUUGUCCAUGCCGCCGAUCGUCUCGUCGAAGCGGGCGCACACCAAGGUGUAUGCCAUACUGACGCACGGCAUUUUUUCGGGUCCGGCGAUUUCGCGCAUUAACAAUGCCUGCUUCGAGGCGGUCGUUGUGACCAAUACCAUACCACAGGAUGGCCAUAUGCGUGAUUGCCCCAAAAUACAGUGCAUUGAUGUGUCCAUGAUGUUCGCCGAGGCAGUUAGACGGACACACAAUGGCGAGAGUGUCUCGUAUCUCUUCUCAAAUGUUCCAUAUUA
rnacentral:misc_RNA from 1 species